GAUGAACGCUAGCUACAGGCUUAACACAUGCAAGUCGAGGGGCAGCGGGAUUGAAGCUUGCUUCAAUUGCCGGCGACCGGCGCACGGGUGAGUAACGCGUAUCCAACCUUCCGUACACUCAGGGAUAGCCUUUCGAAAGAAAGAUUAAUACCUGAUGGUAUGAUGAGAUUGCAUGAUAUCAUCAUUAAAGAUUUAUCGGUGUACGAUGGGGAUGCGUUCCAUUAGGUAGUAGGCGGGGUAACGGCCCACCUAGCCAACGAUGGAUAGGGGUUCUGAGAGGAAGGUCCCCCACAUUGGAACUGAGACACGGUCCAAACUACUACGGGAGGCAGCAGUGAGGAAGAUUGGUAAAUGGACGAGAGUCUGAACCAGCCAAGUAGCGUGAAGGAUGAAGGUCCUACGGAUUGUAAACUUCUUUUAUAAGGGAAUAAACCCUCCCACGUGUGGGAGCUUGUAUGUACCUUAUGAAUAAGCAUCGGCUAACGCCGUG
rnacentral:rRNA from 1 species